rnacentral:misc_RNA from 1 species
CUCCUGUUACCCCGAAGUAACCAAACAGGCAGUCGUGUACGGGUACGCAAGCACAAGCACACACAGAGUAACCAAAAUGCACAAGAGCAACCAGGAGCUGAGCGUGCCCAAGAUUGUGGGGGACUUCAAGGUGUACAAUGUGAGCGGCUCCCCAUUCGAGGUUCCGUCCAAGUACACGCUGCUCAAGAUCCUCGGCAUGGGAGCCUACGGUAUCGCGUGCAGCUGCUUGGAUGGCGACACUGGCGAGAAGGUGUCCAUUAAGAAGUGUCGCGACGUGUUCCGCGAUGUGGAGGAUGGCAAACGAGUGCUGCGCGAGAUCGAUAUGAUGCGCUUCUUCCACCACGAAAACCUGCUCAAUGUGGUGAACAUUUUGCCUCCGCUGAAGCGCGAGUACCACAGCUUCGAAGACGUGUACGUCGUCACCCCGCUCAUGGACGUAGACAUGAAUGUCGUACUGCGCUCUCGUCAGGUGCUCGAGGAGUCGCACAUGCAGUACUUUGUCUACCAGAUUCUGCGUGGCCUCAAGUACCUGCACAGCGCGAACGUCGCCCACCGCGACUUGAAGCCAGCCAACCUCGUCACAAACAUCUCUUGUGAGCUCAAGAUUAUAGACUUCGGGCUGAGCCGCAGCGUCGAUGUGCCGUACUCGGAGCUCACGGAUUACGUCAUCACGCGCUGGUACCGGCCACCGGAGCUGCUUCUGGAGAACACGAACUAUUCCACCGCAGUGGACAUAUGGUCUGUCGGGUGCAUUUUUGCAGAGAUGUACAACCGCAAGCCCGUUUUCCCAGGUCGCAAUACGAUGGACCAGCUGCGCAUGAUCGCGCAGCACAUUGGCAAGCCGCCAGCCAGCAUCGUCGAGCACCGCGAGGCGCUGGAGAAGCUGAAUGAACUGCCGGACGGGUCACUCAACAUUCCCAAACUCGUCCCCGGGCUGGCCGGCAACACGGAGGGCAUAGACUUUCUCUCCAAGAUGUGGACGCUAGACCCGAGCAAGCGUCCGACCGCGGCUGACAUGCUCGCGCACCCAUACCUGGCCCACCUGCACGACGAGGAAGAUGAGCCGACCUGCCCCUGCCCCUUCCUGUGGGCACAUGAGAGCACCCCGAUGGGCGUCUCGGAGCUUCGUCGCGCCUUCUGGGCUGACAUUGUUGACUACAAUCCGUCUCUGGAGCAGGCCACGCCGCCGGUGACGACGGCUGGUGGCAGCAGCUCAAAGAACGGCAGCGGCCACCAUCACUAGCGCACAUCUUCUCUUUUCCAACCGCCGUCGUGAUUUGUUUCGGCUGUGUGUACCAUCCCGCUCAAGCAGGCGGCACACAGCCAUGAACGAGAAGAGACGUGUUGAGAGAAGAAAGUAGCGAAUAGCGGAAGCGAGGGUGCAUGGGUGGACAGGGUGAGACAAGAAGCUGCUCCACAGCGGGAGGAGAGAGCAUGACGGGUGCGCAGCGGCGUCAAAUCUUAUUUUCCGUCUUUCACGCGUUUCAGCGCGUGAGUGUGCGAGUACCUUUGAGGUAGAGUGCGUUCCGCACACCAGCAUGCGCGCAUGCACCUUCACGCACUAACAGGCGCUUAGUAGCGACGCCUACAACGGAGCCGCUCAGGCGUACGGAAAUAUUGAGAUGGAGUGCGCGUGGAUAGCGUUACUCUCUCGCUCUCCCCCUCUGCUGCCUACUCCCCCGCCUUCCUCGACCACGCCCCCACCCCACCCUUCGAUUUGCCUUUCUCUUUUCUACCUUAUCCGAUGCGGUCGUUCUUCUUUUCUCGGUUUGAGAGUGUGUGCAUAUCUGGUGGCAG